GGGAUUUUGGAGGGAAAAAGACAUAUUUCUUAUCUCCUCAUUCUUCUGUGUAGCCAGCAGGAAGAUUCCUGGAAGAAAAGCAGAUAAAGACAGAUUGGAAACAAAAGCAAAUCCUAAGGUUCCAGGUGAAGCUGCAUCCAGGCCCCCUCCAGACCACCCUCAGCGCAGCACUGGGCUCUCGCUUGCAACAAAAGACACAAAGGAGCCAUCAGCCAGCCGGCCAGGAAGAAACCAAUGGAACAUCUGAAAAAACAAG
rnacentral:lncRNA from 1 species